GGGUGAGUAACACGUGGGUAACCUGCCCAUAAGACUGGGAUAACUCCGGGAAACCGGGGCUAAUACCGGAUAACAUUUUGAACCGCAUGGUUCGAAAUUGAAAGGCGGCUUCGGCUGUCACUUAUGGAUGGACCCGCGUCGCAUUAGCUAGUUGGUGAGGUAACGGCUCACCAAGGCAACGAUGCGUAGCCGACCUGAGAGGGUGAUCGGCCACACUGGGACUGAGACACGGCCCAGACUCCUACGGGAGGCAGCAGUAGGGAAUCUUCCGCAAUGGACGAAAGUCUGACGGAGCAACGCCGCGUGAGUGAUGAAGGCUUUCGGGUCGUAAAACUCUGUUGUUAGGGAAGAACAAGUGCUAGUUGAAUAAGCUGGCACCUUGACGGUACCUAACCAGAAAGCCACGGCUAACUACGUGCCAGCAGCCGCGGUAAUACGUAGGUGGCAAGCGUUAUCCGGAAUUAUUGGGCGUAAGGCGCGCGCAGGUGGUUUCUUAAUUCUGAUGUGAAAGCCCACGGCUCAACCGUGGAGGGUCAUUGGAAACUGGGAGACUUGAGUGCAUAAGAGGAAAGUGGAAUUCCGUGUGUACCGGUGAAAUGCGUAGUGUAUAUGGAGGAACACCAGUGGCGAAGGCGACUUUCUGGUCUUGUAACUGACACUGAGGCGCGAAAG
rnacentral:rRNA from 1 species